AUUGAACGCUGGCGGCAGGCCUAACACAUGCAAGUCGAACGAGUGGCGGACUGGUGCGUAAUGUCUGGGAAACUGCCUGAUGGAGGGGGCUAACUACUGGAAACGGUAGCUAAUACCGCAUACCAUCAGAUGUUCCCAGAUGGGACAAGCUUGUUGGUGGGGUAACGGCUCAUCAAGGCGACGAUCCCUAGCUGGUCUGAGAGGAUGACCAGCCACACAGGAACUGAGACACGGUCCAGACUCCUACGGGAGGCAGCAGUGGGGAAUAUGGCGCAAUGGGAGCAAGCCUGAUGCAGACAUGCCGCGUGUAUGAAGAAGGCCUUCGGGUUGUAAAGUACUUUCAGCGGAGAGGCGUUACCCGCAGAAGAAGCACCGGCUAACUCCGUGCCAGCAGCCGCGGUAAUUC
rnacentral:rRNA from 1 species